rfam:Ovis aries breed Texel chromosome 2, whole genome shotgun sequence.
UCCCUAAUGGCUCAGUUGGUAAAGAAUCUGCCUGCAAUGCAGGAGACCCUGGUUCAAUUCCUGGGUUGGGAA